rnacentral:rRNA from 1 species
GGUGCAGCAGGCGCGAAAACUCCGCAAUGCACGAAAGUGUGACGGGGCUACCCCGAGUGCCAUCCGCUGAGGAUGGCUUUUCCUUGGUGUAACUAGCCAGGGGAAUAAGGAGAGGGCAAGACUGGUGUCAGCCGCCGCGGUAAUACCAGCUCUCCGAGUGGUAGGGAUGAUUAUUGGGCUUAAAGCGUCCGUAGCCGGCUUAGCAAGUCUCCUGUUAAAUUCAGCGACCUAAUCGUUGAGCCGCGGGAGAUACUACUAGGCUAGGAGGCGGGAGAGGUCGACGGUACUUUUGGGGUAGGGGUGAAAUCCUAUAAUCCCAGGAGGACCACCAGUGGCGAAGGCUGUCGACUAGAACGCGCUCGACGGUGAGGGACGAAAGCUGGGGGAGCGAACCGGAUUAGAUACCCGGGUAGUCCCAGCUGUAAACGAUGCGGGCUAGGUGUUGGGGUGGCUACGUGCCACUUCAGUGCCGCAGGGAAGCCAUUAAGCCUGCCGCCUGGGAAGUACGGUCGCAAGGCUGAAACUUAAAGGAAUUGGCGGGGGAGCA